GGGUUGUGAGGUUAAGCGACUAAGCGUACACGGUGGAUGCCCUGGCAGUCAGAGGCGAUGAAGGACGUGCUAAUCUGCGAUAAGCGUCGGUAAGGUGAUAUGAACCGUUAUAACCGGCGAUUUCCGAAUGGGGAAACCCAGUGUGAUUCGUCACACUAUCAUUAACUGAAUCCAUAGGUUAAUGAGGCGAACCGGGGGAACUGAAACAUCUAAGUACCCCGAGGAAAAGAAAUCAACCGAGAUUCCCCCAGUAGCGGCGAGCGAACGGGGAGCAGCCCAGAGCCUGAAUCAGUGUGUGUGUUAGUGGAAGCGUCUGGAAAGGCGCGCGAUACAGGGUGACAGCCCCGUACACAAAAAUGCAUAUACUGUGAGCUCGAUGAGUAGGGCGGGACACGUGGUAUCCUGUCUGAAUAUGGGGGGACCAUCCUCCAAGGCUAAAUACUCCUGACUGACCGAUAGUGAACCAGUACCGUGAGGGAAAGGCGAAAA
rnacentral:rRNA from 1 species